AACAUGUCUUUUAGAUUAUAAUUUAAAGUCGAAUCUGCUCCAUGAUGAAAAUUAAAUAGCUGCAGAAUUUUAACUGUACAAAGGUAGCAUAAUCAAUAGUUUUUUAAUUGAAAGCUGGUAUGAAUGAUUUGACAAGAUAAAUAUUGUCUCGAAUUUAAUAAUAUUAGAAUUUUUAUUUUAGUAAAAAUACUAAAUUAAUUUUAAAAGACGAGAAGACCCUAUAGAUUUUUAUAAUUUUAUAUUAAAAAAAAUUUAAAUUAAAUAAAAAUUUUUAAUAUUUAAUUAUUUUAUUGGGGAAAUUAUUAAAUUAAUUUAAUUUUAAUAUUUUUAUUAAACAAGAAUUAUUGGUUUAUUGAUCUUAAUUAUAAAUUAAAAGAAUAAAUUACCUUAGGGAUAACAGCGUAAUUUUUUUGGAGAGAUCAUAUUGAUAAAAAAGUUUGCGACCUCGAUGUUGAAUUAAGAUAAAAUUUUAAUGGAAAAAUUAAAAAUUUUUGGUCUGUUCGACCAUUAAAAUCUUACGUGAUCUGA
rnacentral:rRNA from 1 species